rnacentral:rRNA from 1 species
CAAAAACAUAGCCUUAUGUAUAAUAUAUUAGGUAAUUUCUGCUCAAUGAGACAUUAAAUAGCCCCAGUACCCUGACUGUGCAAAGGUAGCAUAAUCAAUUGACUUCUAAUUAAAGUCUAGAAUGAAUGAAUAUAUGAGGGGUGAGCUUUAUCAAUAAUUAUAAAAGAAGUUUCUUAAGGGGUGUAAAUUCCCUUAAUUAAAUAAUAGACGAGAAGACCCUAGAAAUUUGUAAUUAGUUUUUGUUGGGGCAACAUAGUAACAUUAUUAACUUACUAUAUUUUACUAGAAGUAAAUCGGGUUGAUUAAAUUACUCUAGGGAUAACAGCAUAAUACGAAAGUGUUUGUGACCUCGAUGUUGGAUUAAGAUGUUUCAGUUUAGGAAAUAUCCAUAAAGCUCUGUU